UAAACGAUGUCGAUUUGGAGGUUGUGCCCUUGAGGCGUGGCUUCCGGAGCUAACGCGUUAAAUCGACCGCCUGGGGAGUACGGCCGCAAGGUUAAAACUCAAAUGAAUUGACGGGGGCCCGCACAAGCGGUGGAGCAUGUGGUUUAAUUCGAUGCAACGCGAAGAACCUUACCUGGUCUUGACAUCCACAGAACUUUCCAGAGAUGGAUUGGUGCCUUCGGGAACUGUGAGACAGGUGCUGCAUGGCUGUCGUCAGCUCGUGUUGUGAAAUGUUGGGUUAAGUCCCGCAACGAGCGCAACCCUUAUCCUUUGUUGCCAGCGGUUAGGCCGGGAACUCAAAGGAGACUGCCAGUGAUAAACUGGAGGAAGGUGGGGAUGACGUCAAGUCAUCAUGGCCCUUACGACCAGGGCUACACACGUGCUACAAUGGCAUAUACAAAGAGAAGCGACCUCGCGAGAGCAAGCGGACCUCAUAAAGUAUGUCGUAGUCCGGAUUGGAGUCUGCAACUCGACUCCAUGAAGUCGGAAUCGCUAGUAAUCGUAGAUCAGAAUGCUACGGUGAAUACGUUCCCGGGCCUUGUACACACCGCCCGUCACACCAUGGGAGUGGGUUGCAAAAGAAGUAGGUAGCUUAACCUUCGGGAGGGCGCUUACCACUUUGUGAUUCAUGACUGGGGUGAAGUCGUAACAAGGUAACCGUAGGGGAACCUGCGGUUG
rnacentral:rRNA from 2 species